GAGCAAGGGCCUGGCACCCCCUGAAGGUCUCCUUUCCCCAUAGUAUGAGAAGAUCCUGAAGCUCACGGCUGACGCCAAGUUUGAGUCAGGCGAUGUGAAGGCCACAGUGGCNNNNNNNNNNGGCGAUGUGAAGGCCACAGUGGCAGUGCUGAGUUUCAUCCUCUCCAGUGCGGCCAAGCACAGUGUCGAUGGCGAAUCCUUGUCCAGUGAACUGCAGCAGCUGGGGCUGCCCAAAGAGCACGCGGCCAGCCUGUGCCGCUGUUAUGAGGAGAAGCAAAGCCCCUUGCAGAAGCACUUGCGGGUCUGCAGCCUACGCAGUAAGUAUGAGGCCAGCCAGGGUCCGGGCUCAUUCUAG
rnacentral:lncRNA from 1 species